UCGAAUAACCUGAUACUGAUGCUGGCCCUUCUUGGGGCAUGUGCUCGUGUCAUCUUAUUUAUCAAUCUCUUGUGCACCUCUUGUAGUCUUCGAAGUGAAAAACCUCUCGCAGUCAAAUGCGGGUUUGGGGUCUGGGCCUAGCCCUUUCCCUGCUUGCUUCGAGGGCUAUGUUUUUCAUACACCCUAUUAAAGUUAUAGAAUGUCUCUUUAUUGACCCUCGCGGUCGGUAAAACCUAUA
rnacentral:misc_RNA from 1 species